AGAUCAUUGAGAUAACACAUAUAUAGUAAUAAUGGAAAGGAAAAUACAUGUUACCAUGUGCUUCUUCCUCAUCGUUCUCUUAACUUUUCAAGAAGCGUUGGCACAAACUGAAGCACAUUGUGAAAAAGAGAGUCGUUUAUUCUUUUUACAAUGUUUUGGUUCAUCUGGCAACAAAAAAUGUGACUCUAUUUGUAGGAGAAAGGAACAUUCACUCAGUGGUUUCUGCCACAAUCAAAAGUGCAUUUGUUGUUUUUGUUGAUCGUCUCUUCUUCCUAUGAUACAGACGAAUAAAUGUAUGUUUGUUAAUCAUAAUUAGAAUUAUGUUCGUUAAUGGAGGAAGAAGAAUUUUGAUUUUGAUUGAGAAAGGUGAAGAUUUUGAUCGAGGAAGAUUUGAGUUUCGAUUUUUUAAGUUUUCUGGGUAUUGUUCAUGGUGAGAAUGAGUUAGUAAAAUUCAGCUAAAAGAAUGAUGUUAAGUGAAUCUGAAUUUUUUCUAACAUUUUUAAUGAUGAGUUGAAGAUGAAUAUGCGAUUUAGAUGAA